UACGAAGGGGGCGAGCGUUGUUCGGAAUUACUGGGCGUAAAGGGCGCGCAGGCGGCUCGACAAGUCAGAUGUGAAAGCCCCGGGCUCAACCUGGGAACGGCAUUUGGGACUGUCGGGCUAGAGUUCGGGAGAGGUGGGUGGAAUUCCCAGUGUAGAGGUGAAAUUCGUAGAUAUUCGGAGGAACACCAGUGGCGAAGGCGGCUCACUGGUCCAUUACUGACGCUGAGGUGCGAAAGCGUGGGGAGCAAACAGG
rnacentral:rRNA from 1 species